rnacentral:rRNA from 1 species
AUGGCGCGGCCCACCGCCAGAUCCCGCACCUGUGGAGAGCCCCUCCCUAGGGUUUCCCCCCCAGGACGCUGCGCCACCGACGACAAGCCGACCGCGCCGCGCGACGGAGAUGCCACCCCCAGGAUCCCUGGUCGUCGCCCCGGCGGCAGCCCAGCGGAGGGAGGGGAAGGUGAGCAUACCGGCGAAGAGCAGACAACCAAAGCAGAGACCGCACGACGGCAUGGGGGCGACAAAGGGACCAAGGACCGCGCACGCUUAGCAGAUCUGCGACCCCGGCGGCGAGCCACGCACCAGCCAUCCUCCGCCACCAACAGCGAGGACACACGGCCGCUCCUGCCCGCAGCAAACUUACGGGCCUUGGAUGCAGAAAGACGGCGGGGGGAAGGGGAGCAGGCAACAGGGAGGCGGGAUUCAUCCUCGGAGUCGGAAUCGCAAUCGCCCAGGGCCCAGAACCUGUUGGCCUAA